rnacentral:misc_RNA from 1 species
GAUGAAGAACGUAGCGAAAUGCGAUAAGUAAUGUGAAUUGCAGAAUUCAGUGAAUCAUCGAAUCUUUGAACGCACAUUGCGCCCCUUGGUAUUCCGAGGGGCAUGCCUGUUCGAGCGUCAUUAUCACCCCUCAAGCGCUUGCUUGGUGUUGGGGCGUGCCCUCGCGGGGGCAGCCCUCAAAAUCAGUGGCGGCAGCCGCCUGGCUCCGAGCGUAGUAACUUUACUCCUCGCUAUGGUGCCGGUGCGGGUCGUUGGCCAUCAACCCUCCACGUCCACGACGAUUGACCUCGGAUCAGGUAGGGAUACCCGCUGAACUUAAGCAUAUCAAUAAGCGGAGGA